rnacentral:tRNA from 1 species
GGAUAGCUCAGUAGGGUAGAGCAUCGGACUUUAAUCCGAAAGUCGCGGGUUCGAUUCCCGCUCCA